AUGGUUAAAAGAAACCUCUCCAGAUACGGUGUGCACCCAACCAUCCUUAUAGAACAAGGCCAUCCGGUGGACAUAACGGACUUUGCUUUGCAUCCACUUAGCAUGACACGUUAUACAGUUAAUGUUUCAACCAAGAAGGAAUUGCCAAGCGUGACAUUUGGCCAAUUGAUAACAGAUCCUAGUGUUAGACCGAAAGAAGACUUCAUUUUAAUUUCAUGGGAAUCAAGGAUACCCCCUCAUAACUCAGAGCAAUCAGGCUUGUCCAUCAACAGAAGCCUGACGACCCUCCGGAUCGAGCACAACUUCGGUAAAGAGACGAGGGUUUGGAGAAAAUUCACCAAAAAAGCUCCGGGACUGCCGAAGAAGCUAUGA
rnacentral:rRNA from 1 species